CAGAGUUGCAAGACUCCCUAAACCAUUGUGAACCUACCUUCUACCGUUGCUUCGGCGGGCGGGCCCAGCGCCCCCCCGGCCCCCCGCGGGCGCCCGCCGGAGGAUACUCAAACUCUUGACAUUAGUGGCCUCUCUGAGUAUUCUUUACUGAAUAAGUCA
rnacentral:misc_RNA from 1 species